rnacentral:rRNA from 1 species
AUGGCUUGUCCUUUUUGCCGUAUGCCUGGUGGCCCGUGUUCUUCUGUUGAUUCUUCUGUAGAUGGGUUCAGUGUGGUCCUGGAUCGGCGUUGUUGGAGGCGCGUUUAUGUUCCGUGCAGUGUUAGAGCUCAUCUUGCUUGUUACAUCGAGGAGUGUAGGGCUUUAGCCAUAAGGAGGGGUGACGAAGAUACUGAUCAGGAUCUUCAGUGCACUGAGGGUUAUUUGUAUGGUGUUCUGUUUAGUCAUGGCCGUGUGAGGAGCAAAUUCCAUGGUCCUUCCUGGGAACGAUUGGUCAGUGAUUAUGGUGUUCGUCCUCGUGAUAUAAUGACCAUUAGGCUUGAACAUUAUGGAACUUGGAUUGGUACUGAUUUUUAUCGUGUUGGUCGUGGAGAUGCGUUGUCUCCUUUACCGUCUGUUGCUCUACAUGGUUUGAGCGACUAUGAGAAGGAGCUUGUUGGGAGUUGUUAUUACACCUGUGGUGUUUUUCUUAAUUAUCAGCAGAUGUAUUUCAUGAGGUGUCAACUAUUUGAUGAUGACUACAUACCCUGUUGUCCUUUUGUUCAUAGGAUUGAUUCCAUGAAUGUUAAUGGUCAUCAUAUGGUCAGAUUUUUUUCCCAUUGUUUUUUUUGUUUUUGUUUAUUUAUUUAUUUUUAUUACGUCUUCUAUUUAUAG